GUACUCAUAGUUGGGGACGUCCGAUGAAAUUGGUACAAUACAAAAAAGAUUAGUAUGGUCUUUGGGCAAGGGUGACACACAAAUCGAGAAAUUAGUAGUCGUAUU
rfam:Medicago truncatula strain A17 chromosome 1, whole genome shotgun sequence.